UCCGGUCUGAACUCAGAUCACGUAAAGUUUUAAAGGUCGAACAGACCUAAUCUUUUCAGCUUCUACACCAAAAUUAAACUUUAAUCCAACAUCGAGGUCGCAAACUUCUUUAUCAAUAAGAACUCUCUAAAAAAAUUACGCUGUUAUCCCUAAGGUAAUUUAAUCUUAUAAUCUAAAAAAUAGGAUCAAAUAUUCACUAAUUAGUGUUAAAAUAAUAAAAAGUUAAUUAAAUUUUUAAAUCACCCCAACAAAAUAUUAAAAAACGCAAAUUAAAAUAAAACCAUAUUAAAUUUUACGUACCAAAAUAUAAAACUCUAUAGGGUCUUCUCGUCUUCAUAAAAAAUUUAAGCUUUUUAACUUAAAAUUAAAAUUCUAUAGCAUUAACAAAGAGACAGUUAUUUUUUCAUCAAACCAUUCAUUCCAGCUUUCAAUUAAAAAACUAAUGAUUAUGCUACCUUUGCACAGUCAAAAUACUGCGGCCAUUAAAAUAAUCAUUGGGCAGGCCAGACUUUAUAUUAUAAUC
rnacentral:rRNA from 1 species